AAGCAACGCGAAGAACCUUACCAGGUCUUGACAUCCUCUGACACUCCUAGAGAUAGGACUUUCCCCUUCGGGGGACAGAGUGACAGGUGGUGCAUGGUUGUCGUCAGCUCGUGUCGUGAGAUGUUGGGUUAAGUCCCGCAACGAGCGCAACCCUUGAUCUUAGUUGCCAGCAUUCAGUUGGGCACUCUAAGGUGACUGCCGGUGACAAACCGGAGGAAGGUGGGGAUGACGUCAAAUCAUCAUGCCCCUUAUGACCUGGGCUACACACGUGCUACAAUGGAUGGUACAAAGGGCUGCAAGACCGCGAGGUUUAGCCAAUCCCAUAAAACCAUUCUCAGUUCGGAUUGUAGGCUGCAACUCGCCUACAUGAAGCCGGAAUCGCUAGUAAUCGCGGAUCAGCAUGCCGCGGUGAAUACGUUCCCGGGCCUUGUACACACCGCCCGUCACACCACGAGAGUUUGUAACACCCGAAGUCGGUGGGGUAACCGCAAGGAGCCAGCCGCCUAAGGUGGGAC
rnacentral:rRNA from 1 species